rnacentral:rRNA from 1 species
GACGAACGCUGGCGGCGUGCUUAACACAUGCAAGUCGAACGGUAAGGCCCUUCGGGGUACACGAGUGGCGAACGGGUGAGUAACACGUGGGUGAUCUGCCCUGCACUUCGGGAUAAGACUGGGAAACUGGGUCUAAUACCGGAUAGGACCACUGCCCGCAUGGGUGGUGGUGGACAGCUUUUGCGGUGUGGGAUGGGCCCGCGGCCUAUCAGCUUAUUGGUGGGGUGAUGGCCUACCAAGGCGAGGACGGGUAGCCGGCCUGAGAGGGUGACCGGCCACACUGGGACUGAGAUACGGCCCAGACUCCUACGGGAGGCAGCAGUGGGGAAUAUUGCACAAUGGGCGCAAGCCUGAUGCAGCGACGCCGCGUGAGGGAUGACGGCCUUCGGGUUGUAAACCUCUUUCAGCACCGACGAAGCGCAAGUGACGGUAGGUGCAGAAGAAGGACCGGCCAACUACGUGCCAGCCGCCGCGGUAA